GGGCGCGCAAGAAAACAGAGCAAAAAAAAAAAACCACUCUCCGCACCCUAACCCAAGAAAACAGAGCAAAAAAAAAAAAAAACCACUCUGCGCACCCUAACCCUCUCUCCUCGGCUCCAUCCUCACCCCCUCUGCUGUGCCUCUCCCAGGCCUUCUAAGCUCUCGUCUCCUUUGUCUUCCCUGUCUCCCUCUCCUUGCCUCUGUUUCCCUUUGCUCUUCCGCAACCAAACUAGCAAGCCACUCCCCUAUUCUAGUCCAACCCUCAACUCCUCUGCAGAUACCGCUAAUAGCCCCAUCAGCAACACUCCACGAGCAGGCCGUGAGUUACACAGCCAGCCUGUAGCUGCCGUGAACAGCCAUCGUCCCCGACCACACCAGCAUCCCUACUCCACGACCAUCCUCUGCCCCGAGUCCACAGCAAGCAGCAGAGCAUAACACAGCAGACCCGAGACUCCCUUGGCACCUCUCUGCUGCACAGCCGUGCUACACCACCAGGAGUCCUCUGUGCCAGCCAUUCCAGCAGCAGAGCCACGAGCAUCGAACAGAGCACCCUGCUGCCAGCAUACUUCUGCGACUGCAACCAGCGGAGCUCCGGCGGCUACGCACCAUCCACCCUCUGCAACCUCUGCUGCCGAACCUCGCUCUGCUUUGCCUCCAGCUGCCGUGAGCACCAGUCGAGACCCUUAUCAACUCCGGCUUCUCCCAGGAAAAACAAGUUAAACCGAGGAGUUAAGCAAUGCAAGAAGCCAAUGGAGUAAGUGGGAAGCACAAUGCUCAAUCAGAUGCUCAACCAAGUCCCCAAAGCUUCAGUUCAUCAAAGCAAACAAGACUUGGCUCGACCAUGUUGUGUGACUAGCAAGCACAGGGGGUGACCAAGUCACAAGAAGAAGACUCCAAGGUUCAGACUGAAAGUAGGAUUGUUGACUUUUUUAUUUUGAUCCCUAUUUUGAUGCUGACAAAUCACAAAGAUCUUAUGUGUAUUUAAGUGCUUGAACAUGUCUAUAUCUUAGCACGCACAUAAGAUUAAAGGGUCAUGGAAGCCAAGAGGAACUUGAAGACUAAACAAUCUGGUGCACUCCUUGGAAAUACCGAAGAGCAAAGAAGAUUGAAGACAUUUAACUGUUUCAAUUGUAAUUGCAUUUAUGUUUUGACCUGUAAUAAUUGCACUG